rnacentral:lncRNA from 1 species
UCAAGCUGCGUGGCACUGUAUGUUUAUCAGUAUUCUCUGCGAGCAAUUUCCCGCUGCUUCUUUUUUAUUAAUCCAGUACAUUAAUUCAUAACAAGUACA